AUGAAAUGUGAGGAGUAGUGGUGGGCGAACUGAUAAUGUAUAUCGACAGAUAGAUAGAUAGAUAGAUAGAUAAUAGAAAACAGACCGCUGUUCAAUUUAGCCAGCCAACUUGAACAUAAUUCCUAUAAGGAUGGGAUUUGAAUUAUACGGUCUUCCGGUAGAGUGGCGUACGCAAGGAUUUCUCCUAGGGGAAUCAGAAAAGAGGAGCAAGGGAAACGAAAUAAAAAUAUUUCGGAAGCGGACAUUGAGUGAAAACGCAAAUGUCAAACGACAAGAAACAAAUAGCUCGAAGGGACCAAGCUAGAACUAGACAAACAGAUCAUUCAUGAAAAUUAAAAGAAAAAGAAAAAAGGAAAAGAAAGAAAAAAGAAACUGAAUGAGUCCUCCCAAAAUGUUCUGUUAUAUCAAAAAUGUUAUGGGAAACAUUACAGCAAAACCCGAGUUACGAACUUCCCGAAACGCAAAGCCUCAGAAUUGAAAAGUACGAAACAACACCCAUCUACCCCCUCUUUGAUUAAAAUCGGCUAGUCAAACGGAGAGUAUAGCAUUAGGAAAAAAGAAGUAACGAUGAUAGGCGAAGCAAUGGAAAAAAGGAACAGAAAAAUACAAACAAAAAUACAAAACGAAAAUACAAAGGAGCAUCGAACCUCUUCCAAGAGUGGGUGGAUGAGUGACUAUGACUAUUUGAAAGGGCGAUCAUAUGUCCCAUCAUCAUUUCCAACAGCGCUCAUGGGUUGACUGCGGAAUCCACCAAAAUCGCCGGAGCCAGUCCGCCGGAGGGCCUGCCGCAUGGUUUCGACACUUAACUCACCCCCAAAGGUGCCGGGAGGGGGGCUAUGGCCGCAGAGCCGGGGGCUCCCCGCAACUCGGGUCCCGCAAUUGGGGGAGUUGUCCAAACCCUUUGUAGAAGGCGAUACGCUUGUUGGCGGUGACGUACCGAAGCCAUGGGACGAGACCGGAGAGCG
rnacentral:sRNA from 2 species